rnacentral:piRNA from 1 species
UGCUAUAGGUACUGAAGCCGAUGGGCUUG